rnacentral:lncRNA from 1 species
CUGUCAAUGCUUUUUCCACGUGAAAAGACCCCACUGAUAAGAAUAAUGCUUCCUUGACGCGUUCCCCUCUCAUUUCUUUUCACCAUUCUGAUUAAAAAUUAUAUAUUUUAGUCACAUUCCUUGAUUUUUCCUUGAGCAACUAGCAAUUACCAGGAAAAUGAGAGGUAGGUGGGUUUGCUUUUAUUUCUGGUCAAGGAGUUCACAUUCGAGGACUUGCAUUUUUAAGAGAAAAUUUUCGAGAAAAUUUUGUAAAGACCCCAUUGAUCAGAAUAAUGUUUCCUUGAUGCUUUCACUUUUCAUUUCUUUGCUUGAGCGAUUUUUGGCCUUGUAAGAUUUUGAGAGAUUGGAGAUGGCUCAUGUUGCUGUUGUUUCUCUUAUGCACUCUCUUCAGCAGAUCCACCAACAUCCAAAUCCACAUUUGAAUCCUUUUAAGCUGCAAGAAANNNNN